AGUACUUUGAGAAAUAAAUGGACAAAUAACAAAAGGACGAAAGGGGGGUGCUGACGUCACACACUGUGCUGCCCAUGACAAUGCCUGAAAGGAGAGGAAGACAGGACGAUUGCAACUCUCUCUCUCUUUCUGUCACCAUCUCUGCACCGUCAGGAAAGAGACAGCACAAUUUUUGGCAGGGUGACGCUGGAUUAUUGCACUGGUCCGGCUGCGUCGUGUUUUCUCCACAGCUGAGCAGGAUAUAGUACAGCAUUACCGCAAACUUUGACCACAAGUGCUGUGACAAGUCUCUGUCUCGCUCUCUUUGUCCUGGCGCCUCGGGUUUAACUUUCUCACUCUGCCCUCCUGCUUCGGCACAGCAAGAACUCUUUGAAAAGGACUCAAAGUUUUCAAAAAAGAAGCUUGAAUUGGUUUCACCUGGGAAAGCUGACAAUCGUGGACUUGCUUUCAGGAUCCCGACUUUUAAUUCAAUUUGAACAUGCACAUAGCAAAGGCACGAACAAAAGUUGAUGAGCACAAAUGCCUAUGGAUAAACAUCCAACAUAUAUUGCAUGAAGCAUGCAGGCAAUGGGAGGACAGCUAAAGAUGCAGCGAAUGACUUCUGUAAAACAGGAAUCGAAAGGCUUGUACCUGGGACAGAUGCCAAACGCUGACAAAAGACUCUUUCGGGAGCCUUAACUUUUUAUUUCAGGACGUGUGUCAGAUCGUGAUUUGGCACUCUGAGUAAGUACAUGUACCUGAUAUCAACAUUUUCUCUUUAAGCGACGCCCCGCUCCUGAGGGAUAGGUUGAGAUUUGCUUAUUUCGCUUGGUUUCGGACCAAGUUCCACUCCUCGCCUCCAGGCCCGAGCCAGGUGACGGUGUUUAGCAUUUUGUGCCAACACCCAUAGAGGUAUUAAACAUGGAGGACUGGCUGCUAACCCAACAACAACAGACGAAGCCAAAGAGCGAGCCGCAAGGUGGUCUCAAGAGUUGCCGCCUUGUUUUCUUUUCCUUUCUCAUGCUGUUGUGACCUCUCUUCUCUUGGCAGCGGGGCUGAAGUGGGCAGGCGAAUAGGAGGGCAUAGCUGAAUCUGCUCAGCGCUGGCAGGGGUUCGUGUAAGAAGGGCUGUUCGCUCGCACACCUCUCUCUCUGCUUUUCCCCUUGUCUUGCGAGCGACGUGGAAACGGUCUCUCCUCUUUUUUCUUCCUCCCUGCUGUUUCUUUUUCCGGUCGUCGUACAGUACAGUCGUACUUUUUACCCCAUCCGGAGUCUCCCGCGAUGGUCCGCGAAAAGCUCUCACUCAGGAACAAAGUCACAGACCCUUUAUCGGGAAAAAUAUUUUGGUAAUCACCUGCAAUUCUGAAGCAAUAACACCAGAAACAGCAUCACAUUAUGAAGAAAAAGAGCCUUGUGGAUAACAGCCGAACCCUGGGACAUCCAGCUGUAAUUACGGCUGCCUGACACUCACCAGAGCAGUGUAUCACUUCUUGAUUUCUCAGCCCUUUAACUGAUCCAACAUCUCAAUUAUGAGACUCUCCACCGGGUCCCCGCUGUCUCGGCCAACUGCCAGGCCAAAACAUUUCAAUCACUGCCAUUAAUUAGGCCAAAGAGGAAUUCAGAAUGUUAAUGUCCUGCCCCAGUGUCUUUCAGUUCCUCGGUUCACAUGCUAAUUUAUGCAAAGACACGGUGCCGCCGUCCCGCCCCUUUGCCAUGGCAGUCCAUUCUUUUGGUCCCCCCCGGGUGACCCCCGUCUGCCACCACAGCUCCAUCAUGCUGGGACGCCAUCAUCUGUGUAUUAUA